rnacentral:rRNA from 1 species
UACGUAGGGUGCAGGCGUUAAUCGGAAUUACUGGGCGUAAAGCGUGCGCAGGCGGUUUGCUAAGACAGGUGUGAAAGCCCCGGGCUCAACCUGGGAAUGGCAUUGGAAACUGGCGGGCUUGAGUGCGGCAGAGGGGGGUGGAAUUCCGCGUGUAGCAGUGAAAUGCGUAGAGAUGCGGAGGAACACCGAUGGCGAAGGCAGCCCCCUGGGUCGACACUGACGCUCAGGCACGAAAGCGUGGGGAGCAAACAGG